rnacentral:lncRNA from 1 species
CAGAGGGGUGUAAGAGCAGAAUGGGUGUUUGUUAUCCAUCUCUCUAAUUUUACUUGUAAUUUAGCUCCCUGAUGGCAGAACUGAUGUGUUUUUUGAUAAAAUCAGAGUGCUAGGGUGACCCCUUGAAAGGUAUUGUACAUUGAAGAGAGAAAUACGGAGCCUGCUUAGGGAACUUAUUGGAAACAUGUAAUUUGUUGUUUUAAGUUUUAUUUGUAAUUGUGAUGUGGGAGUUGGUGUGAUUUACGGAUGAGAAAUGUAGUGAUUUGGGUUUAAUGUUUUUUAAUCAAAUCUAAGAGGGUAGAUUUAAAGAAAUUAAUUGUUAGUGGAGAAUAAUAUUAAGAAUUGAUUAAAUUCGUUCUUCUGAGGUCCACCAAGUCAAAAGGCCUCGCUAAGCAUCAUUAAACAUUGUAUAAAAUGGACGUAAGUUGUGGUCUACCGGAAAUAAAUAUGAAAGUAAAAGAAGCAGCAUUAGCAUGUGUAGGAAGAAAGUUGAUGAAGCCGAGGGGACCGGGAUGCCACCCGCAUGCUUCGCGCCUCCACGUGAUUUCCA